CCCCCAUAGGAUGGUGUUUCAGAGACCUAGUCUGCUACCACCUCGGUCCACAGCUGAUACUUUCCUAUUCCUGGCCUCUACACCUCAUCUCUCAGUUUAUUAGCCUGUCAUCAGCAAGCAGAUCGAGCUUGGACCCGACGGAGAGGAGGAACACUAAGUUCCGCCUCUCCACUGCACCAGCCUCUGCUGGGAAGGACUCCUCCAGGUGAGUGCCCUUGAAAUGAGGACUUUGGUUCCCUAGGCGAGGAACCUGGGGGCAGUAGGUGGG